rnacentral:rRNA from 1 species
UUAUAAAAAUAUUUUUUUUUGUUAUUUAAAUUUAUAUUAUUAAAAAUAUUUUUAAAAUUUUAAGUUUUAGUAUUUAAUUUAUAAUUAAUAAAAUUAUUAAUAGUUUAAGUAUUGUAAAAGAAUUAAAAUUUUUAGUAAAAAGAAAAUUUAUAAAAUUGUAUCUUUUGUAUCAGAGUUAAUUAAAUUAAAUUUAAGUAUAUUUAAUAAUCUCGAAAAUAUAAGAGCUAAGAAUAUAUUAUUUUUUUAAUUGAAAAUAAAUUAUUAAUAUAUUUUUAGGGGUGAUAUGUUAAUCGUUUAUAUUGAUAUCUAGUUAUUUAUUAAAUGAAUUUAAUUCAUUUAUCUAUAAAAUUAAUAUAUUUAAUUAAAAAAUAUAUAAUUUAUUAGAUAAAAAUAUUUAAAGGGAUAAACUUUUAUUUAAAAUAUAUAAUUUUUAAAAAUUAAGAUUUUUUAAAAAAAUAUUUUUUUAAUUAGAAUUUUUUUUAUAAAAUGUAAUAAUAAAUUAAAUUUUAAUGGGUAUAAAAUUUAAAUAAUUAAAAAAUAUAUAAAUUUAAUAAAUUAAAAUUUUAAAUUUUUAAAAAAUUUGAAAUAAUGAUUAUAUUAGUAAAUUUAUUAUUAUAAAUUUUAUGAAUUUAUAAAUAUUAAAUUAAGGAAUUAGGCAAAUUUUUAUUUGUUCGCCUGUUUAACAAAAACAUGUCUUUUUGAUUAUAAUAAAAAGUCUAAUCUGCCCAAUGAUAUAAUAUUUUAAUGGCUGCAGUAUUUUGACUGUACAAAGGUAGCAUAAUCAUUUGUCUUUUAAUUGGAGACUGGAAUAAAAGAUUGGACGAGAUAAAUACUGUCUCAAUUUAAUUAAUUGAAUUUUAUUUUUAAGUUAAAAAGCUUAAAUUUAUUAAUAAGACGAUAAGACCCUAUAGAAUUUUAUAAUUUUUUAUAAUGAAAAAUUAAAUAAUAUUUUAAUUUAUUUUAAAAAAUUAUUUGGUUGGGAUGAUUUUUAAAUUAAAUAAACUUUAAAAAAAAAUUACAUUAAUUAAUGAAUUUAUAAAAAUUUUUUUUUAAAAAUUUAAAAUUAAAUUACCUUAGGGAUAACAGCGUAAUAUUUUUGGAAAGAUCUUAUUGAUAAAAAUGUUUGCGACCUCGAUGUUGAAUUAAGAUAAAAAUUAAAUGUAGAAGUUUAAUAUUUAAGUCUGUUCGACUUUUAAAAUCUUACAUGAUUUGAGUUCAGAUCGGUGUGAGCCAGAUCGGUUUCUAUCUAUUAAAAUUUUUAAUAUUUUUGUACGAAAGGACUUAAUAUUAAUAUUAUAAUAUUUAAUUUUAAUAUAUUUAAAUUUAUUAAC